GUGGGGAAUCUUCCGCAAUGGACGAAAGUCUGACGGAGCGACGCCGCGUGAGUGAAGAAGGCCUUCGGGUCGUAAAGCUCUGUCAUCAGGGACGAACGGCCGGUGGAGUGGAAAGCCACCGGAUUGACGGUACCUGAGAAGGAAGCCACGGCUAACUACGUGCCAGCAGCCGCGGUAAUACGUAGGUGGCAAGCGUUGUCCGGAAUUAUUGGGCGUAAAGCGCGCGCAGGUGGGAUCUUAAGUCCAUUUUUAAAGUUCGGAGCUCAACUCCGUGAUGGGAUAGAAACUGGGAUUCUUGAGUACCGGAGAGGAAAGCGGAAUUCCCCGUGUAGCGGUGAAAUGCGUAGAUAUGGGGAGGAACACCAGUGGCGAAGGCGGCUUUCUGGACGGUGUCUGACACUGAGGCGCGAAAGCCAGGGGAGCGAACGGGAUUAGAAACCCGGGUAGUCC
rnacentral:rRNA from 1 species